rnacentral:lncRNA from 1 species
CGUUUUACCAAAAAAAAAAAAAAAAAAAAAAAAACAAUUUUUAAAAUGCGUAUGUGCCAAAAAAAGGUUAAUCUUUAUAUCAUUUCCUUUGUGCAUGAAUGUAAAAUUUUUUAACAUUAUAACUGAUCAUUAAUUAAGCUGAUAUGUUUACAUAUUUGCAAAAGUAUAUGAGUAUAUAAUUCUAUAUACUCGCAAAAUAUAUGUCAUAACUAAAUAUAUUUAUUUACGUUCACUCGUAUGCAUUUGCGAAUAUAAGCAUCUGUAUAUAUGUACAUAUAUAUAUAUAUGCACAAUUAUAUACGCACGUAAAAAAAAAAAAAAGAAAAAAAAAAAAAAAAAAUUUUUAUAAAAAUAAUAAAAAUAAAAAUAAAAAUAAAAAUAAAUAUGUAUGUACCGAAAUAAAAAAUGCAAAAGUCUUAUAAGCAAAAAAAAAACACCGAACAACAUGAUGAUAGUAAAAAAAAAGGUAGCAAUGAUAAUAUGUCCAAUUUAAUGCACCUAAAAAUAAGAAACGAAAAUGUACAUAUAAAAAAUAUUAUAAGAACAACUCAUUAUGUAUAUAGUAAUAUAUAUGACGCUGACACAGGGUUAAGUUAUAUAAAAGAUGUUUUAAGAAAUAUAAUUAAGGGUGAUGUGUAUGAUAUUGAUUUUAAAAGAUAUGUAAACGAAUUUUGUAUUUACGAACUAUGUGCUAGGCUUAUUUUUAAUAUUAUUAAGAAUACAUCAAAAGAUGAAUAUUUAAAUCGGUUAGUUGAUUUUUUAUUUGAUAUGUUAUAUUACUGUGAUAUAUUAUUAAGCGAAAAGAAAACAAAAAAAGACAAACAAAUAAAAAGUAGUGCGUCUAUAUUAGCUAAUAACACUACUACUACUACUACGAGUAGUGAUAGUAACAGUACGACUCAAGAGUUCAUUUUGAUUACAAAACUAUGGAAUCGUUUGUUAGACAAUAUUUAUAUUAAAGACAGGAAACAAAGAAUAAACUUGUGUAAAGUGGUUAAAGAAUUAGUAAAAAAAGCAUGUUCUCUACAAAUUGAUAUAUCUGAUAAACUAUGUAAAAAACAUGUUAAUACAUUUUUGUCAUUAUUAAAUGAUAAAGAUCAUAAUGUACGUAUGUUAUGUUUAAUAAUUUUAGAACCCUUUCAAGAUAUGAAUACUAGAGGUAGCUAUUUAAAAUGUUUAGAAGAUUUACAUAGUGGAGUAAGAAUACAAGCAAUAAAAAAUAUGAUGAUUAAUAUAGAUAAUAAUAAUAAUAAUAAUAAUAAUAAUAACUAUGAUUAUUUAAUUGUAUUAAGAAACUUAUUAGUUAGAGUUAAUGACAUAAAUCAUAAUGUAAGAGUAAGCGUGUAUGAAAAAUUAAAAAACUACUAUUCUUAUAUUCCAAGCGAUAUGAAAUUUGAAUUAUUACUAUGUGGUUUGAACGAUAAAAAUAAGAUUGUAAGGGAUAGUUGUUAUAACAUGAUUAUACAUUGGACUCAUUUGUUUGAUGAUCAAAUAGAAAAACUUUUAUUACAUAUGAUUAGUAGUGAUAUUGAUAAUGAUGUUAUAAUCGAACAUAUAUGUAAAAUUCAUUUAAAUAUUAUUUGUAAGGGUAUUAUUAAUAGUACAACAGAUUUCGAAUUAAACGAAUCUAAAGGAGGUGGGGGGGAACAUAUAAAAAAAACAUGUCUUUCGAAUAAUACGUUUUUGCGUACGUCUGUGCAUGAUAAUGACAGUGGAGAUAAUGGCGAUAAUGGCGACUUAGGUAUAGAACAAAGUAUUGGUACAAAUAAUCGUAAUGGCGUGGGUGAUAGUACGUAUGAUAGCCCAUAUAACGAAGAAUGGUUUGUCAAUUGUAUUAACAACCUGCUUGUAUUAAACACAGCUGAGUUAUACAUAUUACGUGUUUAUAUUCAACAUUUUGCCAGUGAAAUUGAAAAGGAAAAAAUAGAUGUUAUACAACUUUUACAAGUAAUAUAUUAUUAUUUAUAUUUUAGUAGAUUAAAUGAAAACUUAUAUUAUAAUAGAAAACAUUACAUUAAUUAUAUUGAAAACAAAGAAGAUGACACAUUUGAACGUCAACACAUGUAUUGUACAUGUGGUAAAAGUAAGAAAGAUCAGAUUGUAUUAGAGCAAGAAAGACAAGAGAAAUUUAUCGAAACAAAUGUAUUUGAUACAUAUUAUUGUGAUAAGUGCUUAUAUUAUAAAGUAGUACAUGAUAGUAAUAACCAAACAAAUGGAAAUGAGUCACUUGAACAAACUUUAAUAAUAAACGAAGACAAUAUAAAUGAAAACUAUACAUAUAUAUGUAACAUAAAAAAUCUAUUAAUUAUUUGCAAACAACUUGAUAUAAUAGAAACAUAUCAAAUAGAAAAAAUCAUAGAAUGUUGUUCCAAUAUUUUAUUAAAAGCACCACUAAGAGAAGUUAUAGUAAAAUGUAUGCUGAAUAAUACAGGUGUAAAUUAUUAUAAAUUACAAAAAGGACAUAUUACAUGCGCAUAUUGGCUAGUUAACAGUUAUAUUUAUUCUUGUUUAGACUUAUUAAAACAUAUGAUUUAUCUGAAAAAUAAAAAUUUGAAUAUGAUUGACAUAGAAAUGAGUUUCACUAAUCAGAUAUUGACUAUCAUAUCGGAUAUAAAAGAACCGUUUGAGAGUAGUGACAAUGAUGCUGUGUUUAUGCAUAAUGAUGUGGUAAGAUUUGAAGAGGAAGAAGAACAGAGUCAGAAGCAGGACUUAAGUCAGAAGCAGGACUUAAGUCAGAAGCAGGACCUAAGUCAGAAGCAGGACCUAAGUCAGAAGCAGGACCUAAGUCAGAAGCAGGACCUAAGUCAAAAGUAUGACCUAAACCAUAAGCAGGAUCAAAGUCAGAAACAAAAGCAGGAUGCGCGAAAUGAUAUAGAUCAAACUGAUAACGCGGAGAGACCACGACGUGUAAGCAUUUCCAAUGGGGACGCUAAAAAAACGAACACGUUAGGAAGCAUAUUUAAUGAUAUACUAAGUGUAGAAAACGAUUCUAUUUUUGACAUAAUAAGAAAAAAAAAUUUGAGUAGCCUUUCAAUCGAACAUUUAUUGCUGUUAUGUAAAAAAAUGCACCACAAGUUGGACGGGACUGAAGCUAAGAUAAAAGAUUUAAGUGAUAUGGAGAGAGAAAAAAAAGCUGAGAUGGAAAAUGAAAGUCCUAAAAAAGAAGACAGUGGUAUUGCCAAUGGUAUUACCAGUGGUAUUGCCAAUGGUAUUGCCAGUGGUAUUGCCAGUGGUAGUAAUAAUUUUGACAAUAACAAUUCUACAAUCGAAAAUUCACUUUAUGGUCAACAAAUACAAAUAAAUACAAGUAUUUUUUUAAAACAAUUUUCCAUGUUAUGUUUAUUAAGAUUAGAGUUAAAAAGAAGAUGGCUUCGUAUUUUGCUAAUAUUAGAAUCUUUCUUAUGCAAAUGUAAAUCCCAUUGUGAUUAUGACUCAGGUUUGCGUGAAUUUCCUAAUGAGUUGCUUUUACCAGCGUUAAAUUUUUGUUGUUCUGUUAUGCCUGAAUGGGACGAUAAAGAAAUAGAAGACCAGUUUUAUGACAUCAUUGUUUCUAAGUGUUUAGGUAGUUGGUGUAUGUUUAUAAGUAAUGGAGAGGAAUUAAAAAAGCAGAUAUAUGCAUAUAAAACUGCUAUAGUACAAACAUGUGAUGUGUUGAAUAGUUGUUUAGUUAAUAUAGAGAAUAUACAUUUAAAAGUAUUUCCAAAAACAUAUCAAAAAGCAAACAUUGAUAUAAUAAAUAUCUCUGAUAAGGUUUCUAUUGCGUCUACUAAUACAACUAGCAAUAGUGCGAAUAACAAAAAGAACAAUAGUAAUAAUAUGAACUACGAACGAGAAUUAUAUAGCAAUAGUAAUAAUAGUAGUAGUAGUAAUAAUAAUAAUAGUGGUAGUAAUAAUAAUAAUAGUGGUAGUAAUAAUAAUAAUAAUAAUAAUAGUGGUAGUAGUAAUAAUAAUAGUGGUAGAAACAUAAAAAAAAACGAAAAUGAAUUAGAUAUAACAAACAAUAAUAAUUAUAUAUUUUAUGAAUACAAUCCACCUAAUGAAUGUUUACUAAAAUAUUUUGCCACUAAUCAAAAUACAUGGUACGAAUAUAAAGAUUUAUUGGAGAAGUUAGAAAUCAAUUCAUUACGUUUUGAGAUAUAUAUAUGUGUGUUAAGCGAUUUAUUAAUGACACAUCCAAAUUUUCAUAAUGAUACUUUAAUUUUAGAAGCCAUUGAAAAUUUAUGGUGUUAUUUAACAGGAAGUAUUAAGACUAGUAAAUAUAUUCAAUCUAUUUGCUUAAGAGUUUGUUGUAAAUUGUUACUAACAGAAUAUUUGGGACAACAUAUUAUACUAAUGUCAGAAGAUGAGUUGUAUAAAGUAAUGAAAAAAUCAGCAACAAAAUUAAGAACAUUAUUUGAAAUGUGUUUUUUAAUAUCACCGUCUACAUAUAAUUGUGUUCAAGAUUUUAAAAAAAUUAGUACAUCUUUUAUUACAAACAUAAAUGCACAUGAUAAAAUAUAUCUUUUUUCUGUUUUUUCAAUAUACCCUUCUAUUACGGAAUAUAAUUUAAUCAUUUUUCAUUACACUUUUGAAGAUCUUAUACUGAAGACAUGUGAAGAUGUGGUAAAAUAUAAAUUAAAAAAAAUGAAUUAUACUAACAUACUCACUUUUGUAGUGUUUACGAUUUUACAUAAAGCAAGUAUUAACUUUCUAGCUUUAAAUUUUGUGAAAUAUAUUAAAUGGUUGCUAUUAAUCAUAAUUGAAAAAGGUUUAAUGUUAACCAACAGAUCUAACAUUAUUGAACUGGUAUAUAAGAUUGUGUAUAUUUAUUUAUUCAAUGACAUAAAUAAUAUUAAAAAUAUACAUAAGACACAUAUAAGUGAAGAAAAACAAGUGAAAAAAAGAGGUAGAAAAAAAAAAAUAACAACUGAAUCGGAUGGUAUAAAUUUAGACAGUGGUAGCACAGCAGAAGGUACUAAUUUGGGUUUAGUAGGAGAAGAUACAAAGUUAAAAAAAAAAAGUUAUAUGAACACAACACAUGGAAACAAACAACAAGAUACACAAAUAAACCAAGAUAUUGACACUAGUAUGAACCAUAAUCCUAAUCUAUUAUCACCAAGAGAAGCGGAUGAAAAAAACACCAUUUUGUACAAAAGUGUACAGACAAAUGUUAAUAAUACAAUGAAAAAUUUAAAAAUAUUAUUUGUUCUAAUCAAUUUUUGUAUGCACUCAUCUGAUGUUAUUAAAACGAAAAGCGAAAUACGCUAUUGUGAACUUAUGAAAGAAUCUAUAGAAGCGAAAAUAGAGGAAAUUAAAAUACAUUUUAUAAAUAAUGGACUUGUUGUCACAGGUAAAACAGAAUCAGGAGGAGGAAUUCAAAAGGUAAGUAGAGCAAGUGGGUCUAUCAACAUGGACAACACGGAAAGCAAGGACAACACGGAAAGCAAGGACAACACGGAAAGCAAGGACAACACGGAAAGCAAGGACAACACGGAAAGCAAGGAUAACACAGAAAAUAGAGACAGCACAGAAAAUAGAGACAACACAGAAAACAAUAACUUGUUUGAUGUAAACGAGUUUGAAUCGCUAAGCGAAGAACAUAUAUAUGGUGAAAUUAUUGAAGAAUAUGCUAAUUACAUAGAAACACUGACAUUAAGAAAACUAGCAUAUCCACUGAAACCUAAAGGUGGUUUAUAUGCAAAAAAUGUAGAAGACGAAAUGACAAGACAUGAAAUACUUACACAGAUAGGUGGGACUGACAAUUCUUUGGAUGUAUUAGUUACACCUGACCAAGAAUCUACUGCUAGUACUACAAAAAAACAUGUACGUACAAAUACAAGUAUGAACGAGCACCCGAAUGAUAUUUUAAGAAGUGUACGUACGGAGCAAAAAACGUAUGAACACACCAAAGAUUAUUUUUGGGAUGCACAUGAAGAUAAGGCUUCUAGUGAUAAACAUAAUAACAUAAUAAACAUAAAACAAAUGAAUAAUAAUUAUACUGAAGAAACAAAUUUAAAUAAUGCUAAUCAUACAGCAGAUCCUAUCCCUACUUAUAAUACUAAUAGUAAUAAUGAUAUAAUUACAAAUAAUAUAAAAUAUAAAUAUGGAAAACAAAAUAGCCUAGAAACCAUUUUGAGCUAUGAACAGAACAACUCUAUAAAUAUGAAAAACACAAGUAUAGAAUGUACAGAUAAUAAUAGUAAUAGUAAUAGUACUAGCCAUAAUAAAAAAAGAAAAAUGAAUAAAGAAGAAACCGAAACGGAGAUAGAUAUAGAAUCUGAUCGUGAAACAUUGACAGAAAAUAAUAAUAAUUUAAUAUUUGAUAGAAAUAAUAAUAACCACAUAAAUCAUAAUGGUAAGAGUAACAACCUUCAUAACAAAAUGAAUGACAUUAUAGAUAACGCCAUUGGUAAUAGUUACGGUUUCAAUUUAGACCCUAAUAACAUUAAUGGUAAUAUUAACAACAAAUUGGCUGCGCUUAAUUUAAGUUCAAGUGAAAGUGAGAGUGAAAAAAAUUGUUAUUAAUUCAAGUUUAAAUGAUUAUGAAAAUAAAAAAAAAAAUUAUAAAGAUGAUAUGUUUGAU